rnacentral:misc_RNA from 1 species
UCCACAUGUUUUUGGGUACAUGGCCUACUGGGUGUAGGCAAAAACUUUCCAUCGAAUGAUAUAGAUGCUAGCGUACGUAAUUGAAGUUUUGGCUCAUGGGUCCAUAACUCCACGUUAUUUAUGCAAGGCAUUUAAAUACCAUUUAAAAAUUGGUUCUUUUUUCUAAAAGUAAAGAAACUGAAAAGUUUUCAGCUAAACAAUUAAGAGCUUCAAC